UACGAAGGGGGCUAGCGUUGCUCGGAAUCACUGGGCGUAAAGGGUGCGUAGGCGGGUUUUUAAGUCAGGGGUGAAAUCCUGGAGCUCAACUCCAGAACUGCCUUUGAUACUGAAGAUCUUGAGUUCGGGAGAGGUGAGUGGAACUGCUAGUGUAGAGGUGAAAUUCGUAGAUAUUCGCAAGAACACCAGUGGCGAAGGCGGCUCACUGGCCCGAUACUGACGCUGAGGCACGAAAGCGUGGGGAGCAAACAGG
rnacentral:rRNA from 1 species